rnacentral:rRNA from 1 species
UACGAAGGGGGCUAGCGUUGUUCGGAAUUACUGGGCGUAAGCGUAUGCAGGCGGAUCUCUAAGUCGGGGGUGAAAUCCUGAGGCUCAACCUCAGAACUGCCUUCGAUACUGGAGAUCUUGAGUCCGGGAGAAGGUGAGUGGAACUGCGAGUGUAGAGGGUGAAAUUCGUAGAUAUUCGCAAGAACACCAGUGGCGAAGGCGGCUCACUGGCCCGGUACUGACGCUGAGAUACGAAAGCGUGGGGAAGCAACAGGG